UGCGAUCCGGAGCGGGAGGCGACUGGAUCGCGAAGCAGCAGGGGAGACCAGAGGACGGGCGGAGCUGUCUCGGGGAUCACCGCACCAGGACGGGCGGAGGUGUCUCGGGGCCGGCUGCAGAUUCGAUUGGGGAAUCCGCUGGAUCAAGUUCGAGCGGAACGAGCGGCACACCAGAGGACGGGCGGAGCUGUCUCAGAGCGGAAGUUGACUCGAUCACGACGCAACAGCACGGGAGACCAGAGGACGGGCCGGCUGCAGUUUCGAUCGGGGAAUCCGCUGGAUCGAGUUCGAGCGGAACGAGCGGCCGACUGCAGGUUCAAUCGAGAAUCAGCUGGGAACGAGGCCGGCGGCUUCGAUUAAGAAUCCGCGGGGAUCGGGGAAUCCGCUGGAUUGAGAGUGCCGACAGCUUCAAUCGGGAGAGGUGUCUUCGAGCGGGACGAGCGGAACGGGCAGGAGGAGGAGAUCGAGGCGGCGGCUUCGAUCAAUCGCACCAGUUGCAGCGUGCAGAAAAUUGACCUAGCUCUAAUAUCACGUUAGGAAUAUGCAACUUGUAUUUUCAUGAGGCCAUAAACCGACAUAUAUACAUGUACAUGUCUGGGCUAUAUGCAGAAAACCCCUUAUACAAUGGGAUAAAUAUGAAUAGGUACGUGGCUAUAUUAUGUAUAUUCUAACAAUAGGGAGGUAAAGU
rnacentral:lncRNA from 1 species